GAGUCGAGCAGAGAGCUGCUUUGUCAUGAAACGGGAGAAAAGUAGUGAACUUAGAGGAGAGAAACAAACUAAAGUAUCGAUCAUAUACCACUACCAACGUUUGGAUCGAUAUCUGCAUCGAUCUGCCCACCCUUGUCUCCUGGAUCGUAGCUGAGAUCAGCGUGAACCACGUGGGUCUCUGCUCCCUGAUCUGUUUCCUGUGUUUGGAAAGAGUUCCAGCUUCAUCACGGAGUUUCUCUCGGUUUGUGGGCUCAUCUAAAGCUGAUCAUCAGGAGGAGACGAGCCAUUUAGACUCAGCUCAGCCACUGCAGAGGAAACAAUGACUUCAACCCAAAAGGACCAACAUGGAGCGAGAAGUCGGCGCUCUCAGGAGGCCGACAAACCUCACAGAAGAAAGGGAGAGAAAAAAUACAGCUGUGAUGAGUGUGGGAAGGGUUUUACCCGGGCUGGAGACUUAAAAACACACCAACUCAUCCACAGUGGAGUUAAACCAUACAACUGUGACUUGUGUGGAAAAUCUUUUACCCACGCUGUUAACUUAAAAUCACACCAACUCAUCCACAGUGGAGUCAAAGCGUACAGCUGUGAUUUGUGUGGAAAGUCUUUUACUUUGGCUGGACAAUUAAAAAAACACCAACUCAUCCACAGUGGAGUUAAAGCGUACACCUGUGACUUUUGUGGAAAAUCUUUUACCCAGGCUGUUAACUUAAAAACACACCAACUCAUCCACAGUGGAGUUAAAGCCUACAAAUGUGACUUGUGUGAAAAGUCUUUUACCCACGCUGUUAGCUUAAAAUCACACCAACUCAUCCACAGUGGCGUUAAAGCGUACAACUGUGACUUGUGUAGAAAAUCUUUUACCCACGCUGGAGGCUUAAAAUCACACCAACUCAUCCACAGUGGCGUUAAAGCAUACAACUGUGACUUGUGUGGAAAAUCGUUUACCCACGCUGGAGGCUUAAAAACACACCAACUCAUCCACAGUGGAGUUAAAGCGUACACCUGUGAUUUGUGUGGAAAGUCUUUUACUUUGGCUGGACAAUUAAAAAAACACCAACUCAUCCACAGUGGAGUUAAAGCGUACACCUGUGACUUUUGUGGAAAAUCCUUCACCCAGGCUGGACACUUAAAAUCACACCAGCUCAUCCACAGUGGAAUUAAACCGUACACCUGUGACUUUUGUGGAAAAUCUUUUACCCAGGCUUUUAACUUAAAAAGACACCAACUCAUCCACAGUGGAGUUAAAGCGUACAGCUGUGACUUGUGUGGAAAAUCUUUUACCCACGCUGGAGGCUUAAAAACACACCAACUGAGCCACAGUGGAGUUCAAGCGUACAGCUGUGAUCAGUGUGGCAGAGCUUUUACUCACAGUGGCCACUUACAGCGUCAUCAAGUUAUCCACUCUGAAUUUAAGGCGUACAGCUGCCACAUUUGUGGAAAAACCUUCCGCUGGCUAGGCAGCCUAAAUAUUCACCUCCGCAUUCACACUGGAAAUGACGUUUACUGCUGUGAUCAGUGUGGGAAACUGUUUGUGAAAUAUAAAGACUUACAACACCACAUGUUUACCCACACUGUGGGGAGACCUUAUAAAUGUGACCUGUGUGAUAAGACUUUUAAAUCUCCACAUUACCUGAAAAUCCACCAACAGACCCACACCAGAAAGAAACUGCAAGUGCAGUUACUGUGAGAAGCAGAGCGACACAGAUGGAUCCAGUUCUGAACCCUGUCGUCACUGUGGAGGUGCGAAAGACUUUCGUUGUGACCUUUGUGGAAAAACUUUCACUCUGCAACGAACCCUAAAAAUACAUCAACGUAGACACAGUGGAGACAAAAUGAACUAUUGCAAAGAAUGUGGGAGAGGCUUCCUCACUCGAACUAAUUUAAAAAUACAUGAACUCAUUCACAGUGGGGUUAAAAAGCACGUCUGUGACCAGUGUGGGUCAUCCUUCACCACUGCAGGUCACCUUAAAAUUCAUAAACAAGUCCACACAGGAGAGAAACCAUACAAGUGUAGACACUGUGACAGAAGCUUCUCACGAUCGAGGAGUCGUAACCUUCAUGAACGUAUACACAUGUGAGAGAAUUUACCUGUGACCAGUGUGACCAGAGCUUCAGGAAUCUCAGUUCAUACUCCAAACACAAACGAUCCCACGCUGUAAAUAAACUGUUUCACUGUUACCAAUGUGCAAAAACAUUUACUUCAUUAUCUGCUCUGUGCAAACAUCAGUGUGAUCAUGCAGGACUGAAAUCAGUGGAUCAAAAUGAAUCUGCAGAGACAGAAAGAUCCUCUUCUGGUUUCGGGGUCAGACUUAAAACCCUUGAGAUCAGGCUCCACAGAGUUCAGAUGGACUCUCCUGUAAAGAGUGUCAGCUGAUGUCACACUUGGAUCUGAGGAGGUGGCUCUGAUUUCUGGACCUGCAGUGAAUAAUCCUCAAGUUAUAAAGUUAUAGAAAUGUUUUUUAUAUCCAGCUGUUCGAGCAGCUAUCUAUGAAGUUGUUCAGCAUUUUUAUAGUUUUGUAUUUUCAUUGUUUUGAAGUCUUAAUUUCUAUUUUCCUUUUUGAAAUUCAGUUUAAAGCUGAACAGGGGCUGGGCAAUAUUUCUAUGUAAUACUAAUUUAUUCCACAAGGUGGAGCUUUAUUUGAUCAGCCAAAGAACACAUUCAUAUUUACAGUGGUGGCCUGCAGAAGACAAUGCAUCUUUAGAAAAUUGGGGUAAAGCAGCAAAAAACUGUUAGAGGUUAAAGUUUGCAGAUGACUGUUGUUGUUCAUCAUCUCCAGGACAGUGAGACCAGUCAUGGCCCAGUGCUCUGGGGUUUUCUUAUAUGCUGUUUAAUUGUUUCUUCUUUGGUUUAGUGUGAUGGCCAUGAGCGAUGUCUCUGUCAGCAAAAAGGCUCUAACACUGAGCGUGAUAAAGAUGCUAAAUAGAACCUUCAACCUCCCCAUUGUCUUUCUUCCUUCCUGCAUUCAGAUGAAUAAAUUAGCUUUUUGUUUUCUA